rnacentral:lncRNA from 1 species
UCAAUAAGGGAUCAUUGAUGGCCUAAUCCCCAGAAACUAUAUAUAACACACAAAAUCACAGCCAGUUCGAAUAUGAUGCUCCUGAAAAAUAGUUAGAGGAUCGAUAUUUGAGAAAAUGUGAUUUAAAAGUCGAAGAAUGAACGAACAAAUGGAAUGCAAGAAAGAGAUCGUUAGUGGCUCACUCACCAGACUGAGCUUUGGAUGACACCAUGAAAAUAUUGUGCGCCCAUUUGCAGAUAUAGGUUAGCUUCUUUGACAUAGGAAACUGUAGGUAGCUUCUUUCUAUAGAUACUUGUGUAAGUUGCGAUUUCAGAGAGAAGAGAUAACACUUGCGAAGAAGAAAAUUCAGUGAGGGAAGAACCACAAAAUAUUUGUUGGAAAUAUAAACACGAACAACAUCUCCCAUUAUCUUGGUGUCAAUCACAAACCCAUAUGCAGGUGUAUAUUCACUUGUCCAAGCACUGAAAUCUAAAAC